CUCCGCCCCAGGCGGCCGCGGGAAUUCGAUUGGAAACAGAUGCUAAUACCGUAUAACAACACAUUUCGCAUGAAGUGUGUUUAAAAGGGGCUUCGGCCUCACUUAGAGAUGGAUCCGCGGUGCAUUAGUUAGUUGGUGAGGUAAAGGCUUACCAAGACGAUGAUGCAUAGCCGAGUUGAGAGACUGAUCGGCCACAUUGGGACUGAGACACGGCCCAAACUCCUACGGGAGGCUGCAGUAGGGAAUCUUCCACAAUGGGCGCAAGCCUGAUGGAGCAACGCCGCGUGUGUGAUGAAGGCUUUCGGGUCGUAAAGCACUGUUGUAUGGGAAGAAUAGUCAAUGUAGGAAAUGAUGUUAAUGUGACGGUACCAUACCAGAAAGGGACGGCUAAAUACGUGCCAGCAGCCGCGGUAAUACGAUAAUGCACUAGUGAAUUCGCGGCCGCCUGCAGGUCGACCAUAUGGGAGAGCUCCCAACGCGU
rnacentral:rRNA from 1 species